GACGAACGCUGGCGGCGUGCUUAACACAUGCAAGUCGAACGGAAAGGCCCUGCUUGCAGGGUCCUCGAGUGGCGAACGGGUGAGUAACACGUGGGUGAUCUGCCCUGCACUUCGGGAUAAGCCUGGGAAACUGGGUCUAAUACCGGAUAGGGGCCAUUUUUAGUGUGAUGGUUGGAAAGUUUUUUCGGUGUAGGAUGAGCUCGCGGCCUAUCAGCUUGUUGGUGGGGUAAUGGCCUACCAAGGCGGCGACGGGUAGCCGGCCUGAGGGGGUGGACGGCCACAUUGGGACUGAGAUACGGCCCAGACUCCUACGGGAGGGAGAAGUGGGGAAUAUUGCACAAUGGGCGCAGGCCUGAUGCAGCGACGCCGCGUGGGGGAUGACGGCCUUCGGGUUGUAAACUCCUUUCGCUAGGGACGAAGCUUUUUGUGACGGUACCUAGAUAAGAAGCACCGGCUAACUACGUG
rnacentral:rRNA from 1 species